UAAUGAAAACACUCGGGUCACCUAACAAAGGGCAAAAGGUUUCUGGUCCAGUUUUGAGGGUGGAGACGAGUGAACACAAGGAUGUGAUAUACAUCUGCAUCUACUGUAAUUUAGUGAGCCGGAGGACCAAGAGCAUCUCAGAGAAAGAGCUGUUCUUAAACGUCUCAUUUUCAGAAAUAACAAUAAUUCCUGCUGUGCUCAUUGUUUUUUUCUUGAUUGCGAUUUGGAUCUACUGCUGUUGGAAAAGGAAAACUGAAGUACCGAGAAGAAGCUACAGAGCUGUGCCAUUCUCAGUAGGUCUGAAUGUGAAAGGACAUUGUUGCCAUUGUAACAUAAUAAUAGGAGCUAAAUGGCUUUGUGGGAAGGAAUGGAAUGUUCUGUAUAAAGUGUAUCGUUUCUGACAUAGAGAAACUAUAACAAACUGCCUGGGUUGUUUUUUCCAGCGUUUUUUGUGUUGUAACAGGUUAGAAAUGCGGUUUGAAAUAAUUGCACAAGAUAGUCUGUUACCUGUAUUUCAGUUUCUUUUUGAUCUUUUAUUUUGA